GAUGAACGCUGACAGAAUGCUUAACACAUGCAAGUCAACUUGAAUUUGGGUUUUUAACUUAGGUUUGGGUGGCGGACGGGUGAGUAACGCGUAAAGAACUUGCCUCACAGCUAGGGACAACAUUUGGAAACGAAUGCUAAUACCUAAUAUUAUGAUAAUAGGGCAUCCUAUAAUUAUGAAAGCUAUAAGCGCUGUGAGAGAGCUUUGCGUCCCAUUAGCUAGUUGGAGAGGUAACAGCUCACCAAGGCGAUGAUGGGUAGCCGGCCUGAGAGGGUGAUCGGCCACAAGGGGACUGAGACACGGCCCUUACUCCUACGGGAGGCAGCAGUGGGGAAUAUUGGACAAUGGACCAAGAGUCUGAUCCAGCAAUUCUGUGUGCAUGAUGAAGUUUUUCGGAAUGUAAAGUGCUUUCAGUNGGGAAGAAAAAAANGAC
rnacentral:rRNA from 1 species